rnacentral:rRNA from 1 species
GACAGAGGGUGCAAACGUUGCUCGGAAUUACUGGGCGUAAAGCGCGUGUAGGCGGACUGACAAGUCGGACGUGAAAGCCCAGGGCUCAACCCUGGAACUGCCUUUGAUACUGCUAGUCUAGAGAUCGAGAGAGGCGAGUGGAAUUCCGAGUGUAGAGGUGAAAUUCGUAGAUAUUCGGAGGAACACCAGUGGCGAAGGCGGCUCGCUGGCUCGAUACUGACGCUGAGGUGCGAAAGCGUGGGGAGCAAACAGG